AAUAAGGACCGGCUAAUUUCCGUGCCAGCAGCCGCGGUAAUACGGAAGGUCCAGGCGUUAUCCGGAUUUAUUGGGUUUAAAGGGAGCGUAGGCUGGAGAUUAAGUGUGUUGUGAAAUGUAGACGCUCAACGUCUGAAUUGCAGCGCAUACUGGUUUCCUUGAGUACGCACAACGUUGGCGGAAUUCGUCGUGUAGCGGUGAAAUGCUUAGAUAUGACGAAGAACUCCGAUUGCGAAGGCAGCUGACGGGAGCGCAACUGACGCUUAAGCUCGAAGGUGCGGGUAUCAAACAGGAUUAGAUACCCUGGUAGUCCGCACAGUAAACGAUAGAUGCCCGCUGUUGGUACCUGGUAUCAGCGGCUAAGCGAAAGCAUUAAGCAUCCCACCUGGGGAGUACGCCGGCAACGGUGAAACUCAAAGGAAUUGACGGGGGCCCGCACAAGCGGAGGAACAUGUGGUUUAAUUCGAUGAUACGCGAGGAACCUUACCCGGGCUUGAAUUGCAGAGGAAGGAUUUAGAGAUAAUGACGCCCUUCGGGGUCUCUGUGAAGGUGCUGCAUGGUUGUCGUCAGCUCGUGCCGUGAGGUGUCGGCUUAAGUGCCAUAACGAGCGCAACCCCUCUCUUCAGUUGCCAUCAGGUAAUGCUGGGCACUCUGGAGACACUGCCACCGUAAGGUGUGAGGAAGGUGGGGAUGACGUCAAAUCAGCACGGCCCUUACGUCCGGGGCUACACACGUGUUACAAUGGCCGGUACAGAGGGACGGUGUAAUGCAAAUUGCAUCAAAUCUUGAAAGCCGGUCCCAGUUCGGACUGGGGUCUGCAACCCGACCCCACGAAGCUGGAUUCGCUAGUAAUCGCGCAUCAGCCAUGGCGCGGUGAAUACGUUCCCGGGCCUUGUACACACCGCCCGUCAAG
rnacentral:rRNA from 1 species